AAAAAUAAAAAUGAUAGAAAAAAUCGUCUCCCCCCUUGCCGUUCCCCCUUCCCCCUUGCCCCUUCCCCCUUGCCGUUCCCCCUUUCCCCUUGCCAAGCGAUCUUCCUAGCGAUCUUCCCCCUUGCCCCCCGAUCUUCCCCCUUGCCCCCCCGAAAUCCCUAGCGAUUUCCCCCCUUGCAGGCAAAUCCCUAGCGAAGAGAAGGUCGCUCGUUCGCCCUCCAGCGAACGAGCGAGCUAACGCAAUCAGCGAGUGAAUCGCGCGAAGUAGAAGCAUCCGUUUGAUCGCAAGUCGAAGGGAAAGCUGCCUGACCGCGAGCGAAGGCAUGUCAGCAAGCGCGAGCGAGCCCGGUCGGCGAGAAGUCCGGUGCCAGCGAGUGAGCGAGCCAUGCCAACGCGCGAGUUGAAGUCCGGCCACUGACCGCGAGCGAGCCCUGGCGGCGAUAGGGCGGCGAUCGACCGAGAAAGAGGGAUUGGAAGAGAGCGAGCAUGCGAGAGCGAGAAAUGGGGAGCGAGCGAGGUCAUCUCAGAUCAGCAGCACUCCACGCCUAGCUUCCAGUUCAAAUCUACUCCCUAACCUCUUUUUUAACUUGAUCGAAGGACCUCGAGUGAGACCUCGGCUCCACGCCUUCCAGUGACCGCGAAUGAGAUCAUUUCGCGAGCAACAGUUUUCCACAUCCGACGAGCGACAGAUACAACUACCAGAAGAUAGGAGGAAAUCUCGUUAUUGGUUUUUGACCUUCAAGCCGAGGAUUAGCACGCCACAUCUAUUCCAUAUAUCUUAUCUACUUUUAGUUGUUUAGUUAAUUGACUUGUAAUCUUUUAAUUUUCUGUUUAAUCAAAAUCGCCUUUUACAAAAAAAAAAAAAAAAAAAAAAAAAAAAAAAAAAUGAUAGAAUUUUAGAAAGUCCAGACUUGAACACCCA
rnacentral:lncRNA from 1 species